rnacentral:rRNA from 1 species
AUCCAGGGCCACACCACCCUGAAUGCACCUGACCUCAUCUUGAUCUCCAAAAGCUAAGCAGGGUCCAGCCUGCUUAGUACUUGGAUA